rnacentral:rRNA from 1 species
UACGUAGGCAGCAAGCGUUGUUCGGAAUUACUGGGCGUAAAGAGUGUGUAGGCGGUGCUCUAAGUCUGUCGUGAAAUCUCCCGGCUUAACUGGGAGGGUGCGGCGGAAACUGGUGUGCUUGAGGAUGGGAGAGGUGAGCGGAAUUCCUGGUGUAGCGGUGAAAUGCGUAGAUAUCAGGAGGAACACCUGUGGUGUAGACAGCUUACUGGACCAUUUCUGACGCUGAGACACGAAAGCGUGGGUAGCAAACAGG